rnacentral:sRNA from 1 species
GCUGGGCAUGGUGGUGCGUGCCUGUAGUCCCAGCUACUUGGGAGGCUGAGGCAGGAGAAUUGCCUGAACCCAGGAGGUGGAGGUUGCGGUGAGCCGAGAUCGUGCCAUUGCACUCCAGCCUGGGUAACAACAGCGAAACUCCAUCUCAAAAAAAAAUCUAUGUUUUCUAAAAAAAACUCUAAUUUUUUUUUUUUUUUUUUUUUUUGUCAGAGUUCGCUCUGUCGCCCAGGCUGGAGUGCAGUGGCACAAUCUUGGCUCACUGAAACCUCUGGCUCCAGGGUUCGAGCGAUUCUCCUGCCUCAG